UACGUAGGGUGCAAGCGUUGUCCGGAAUUAUUGGGCGUAAAGAGCUCGUAGGCGGUCUUUCGCGUCUGCUGUGAAAACUCAGGGCUUAACCCUGAGCUUGCAGUGGGUACGGGCAGACUAGAGUGCGGUAGGGGAGACUGGAAUUCCUGGUGUAGCGGUGAAAUGCGCAGAUAUCAGGAGGGAACACCGGUGGGCGAAAGGCGGGUCUCUGGGCCGUAACUGA
rnacentral:rRNA from 1 species